rnacentral:lncRNA from 1 species
UUAGAAAAGCACCAACAGUUACUCUUAGUUUUAAGCCAGCUGGUGAGGUCCAUCUGGGUGUUGUCUUUAUUCCAGGUAGCUCUUGAACUCAGCUAUAACCAGUCUCCUGCUCUUGGAUAUUGGGUGCUCAAGACUUAAAGUAUUCCCAAGAAAAGGCUGUGAAACAGUUGUGGGAUUUAUGUAAAAUAACCAAGCAACAACGGGGGAAAUCUAUAGAAAAAAAUUGUAUUUUUUUCACAUCUUCCAAACUUUGUAUGAAAUCUUGGGACAGCUGUGGACCUUCACAAGGGUGCUGGGAAUUGAACCCUGGUCCUCUGCAAGAACACCAAUCACCCCUAACCACCAAGCCAUCUCUCCAGCCCUCAUGUAAAGCUUUGGAAAUAUGUCUAGGGUCAUUCUACUGUUUACAUCAUAUGAGAGUUUGAUUGUGUUAAGUUUAAAAGUGCUAAAUAAAGCCUCUUGUGAUCAAUUUUAAAGUGUUUUUGAGUAGAUAAUGAAUAUACUCAAUUCCUACUUAAGUAGGAAUUGUUUGUUGGAUAAUGAGUAAGUGACCCAUGGACAAAUAUUCACAAGUAACAGUACUUUAUGAAGACAGCCUGACAGUAUGAGAGCGGUUAGUCUCCUAUGGUGCCCAACUUGCAAGUUUAACUGUAUCACUAACUGUAGAAAAGAGCAGUGCUAAGCUGGCUGAACACUGCAGAUCCUAAGUGCUUGGGAACAAGGAGGGUUUGGGAUUUGGGAUUUCUGACUUGGAAGUAUUUGCAUGCAUCAUGAGGUCUUGGGAAUGAGUCUAAGCACAAAGUAUGACUGUCCAUAUACAUUGUAUGAGGACAGCCUAAAGAUAAUUCUGUAUAUCUGCAUUUUGACUGCAUUUUAACUUUUCACAUGAAGUCAUGAGUCAAGUUCUCUCCUUGUAACAUGUCUUCUCUCAAGAAGUUUCAAGUUUGGGAGCAUUUCAAACUUCGGGUUAAGGAUGGUCCACCUGUCUUAGUCACUCUUCUAUUGCUGUGAAGAGACACCAUUAUAGGCAACUCUUAUAAAAGAAAGGAGGCACCCAAAAGCCUCAGUAGAAGCAUGUGGUGAGGCCACAUACACAGCAUCUGACUUGUGGGGAAUUUGCUGCCCACAGAGGAAGGAAAAAUGCAUCUCCCUGCAGCCAGCAGCCAAAGGCCAGGCAAGCCCUGUGGGAGGCAAACAACUCAGGCUACAGAUUUUCUUUUCUUGGUUUGGAGUCUGGCCAGGAGUGACAUAGACAUGGACCAGCUGAGUGUCAUGGCCUCCUAAAGUACUUUGUGCAUGGGCAGGCAUCUCUCUAGCCUCUCCAGUGGUCUGUCUGUCCUAGGUCCUGUGCCAUCUCACAUGAUCAGUAUCUAUACUAUACUAUACUAUACUAUACUAUACUAUACUAUACUAUCUAUACUAUACAAGCAACUGAGCGUCCUUUACUCUACAGGAGGCUUAUGGAUAGGGAGUUUGGAAGUUUUGGGGAAUCCUAUGACAGUUACCUCCCCAUCUGUUGUACUUCCAACCAGAUCUGUGCUAGACACAGGGAUGCCCACCAACUUCCCCAGCCUGGCUGGCUCAACACAAAUCCCGCCCUACCCAAAAUCUGAGCCUCCCUGCACCUCUUCACAUACACCUUCUCACAGGAUUCGUACUUCCUCAAUGCGAAAAGGGAGGAGCCUGUUAGAAACACUGAGUGAAGACACUCGAGGCUGGAAAGAAGGAGCUCGGUGAAUCUGUGGUGUAGCUGAUUCAGGCAAAAGCUGAUGAAAGAGAAGGCACCACCACUGAGGAGGGACUAGAAUCUAGAGGGAGGCAAGAAUCCCAGCAGGUAAACAGAAUAAUCAUAAGAGCUCUGCCUGGGCUUUGAGUUGGAGAAGCCAGCAUUAGAAAAUGGUGAUGGUUCUGAGGAAGGCCAGGUACUUGCUUUGCAGACAGAUCACGUGCUUGUUUGAGUCUCAGAAGUGCAGCUUCAGAUCCCUUCUGGACAAGUUGAGGGUCUUGGAGCCAGACUAUCAUGUAGGGUGUGGCUGGGGAGAGGACCUAGUCAUAUGCACCAUUAUUGGCUUUCUAGUUGAUCUUGGCACAAAGGAUUUGAACUCCUGGACUCACUUGUCUUCAGAACUGGUCAGGUCUGGUUCAGAGUAAUUUUGUUGGAAGUGAGAUUCAAGCCGGUAUCUUCUUCAUUCUCUGAGUCUGAACACCCCGAAUGAGGUCAUUUAUGCAGAGUGCCUGGUCUUGGACUCUCUGUCUAGGUCAAGGAUGGGUUGCCCUAACAUUCACCUUUAAUGACUAUGUCUUCG